rnacentral:lncRNA from 1 species
UUUCCUCUCCAACGUACACUGCAAGAUACCAUUUUGGUACAUUUGCGAUUUUUGAUGGUGUUUGGCUACUGUUAAAUGAAGCCCGUCUAAUAGCAGCAGGUAAACGAAAGCCCAUUUUAAAUGUGUCAAAGAACAAAGUAAAGCUCUCAAAUUCAAGAAAACUGUAUGUAUCUUUUGAUCUUGCGAAUGACUUGUGGUUUCUAUGAAGGAAAAUAGCGUAUUUAUAGUCUUCAAGAGUUUAUUGAAAUCCAAUUUUUUUGAGAAGUAAUUGUUAAAGAAUGGGGUCCAUGAGAUUGGAGAUCAUAUAGUAUUUUCCUGGAUGUCUCUUUAUAUUAAGGAUCAACAAGUUCAAUAAGAGUGUUAUUAUAAUAUUCCCCUGGUGCAUGGCUUGUGUUUGUGCAUAAAAUGCAAGUUUUUGAGAUGAAAAUAAAAUAACAAAUAAAUUUGCAAGAAUAUAGUUUUGCAAGGUUCUCAUUUCAGAUUUCCACUUAAGAGGAAACAUAAAAAAUAGAAAAAAAAAGUCCUGAUAUACAAAAGUUGUCUCAACUAGUCAAUCCUAUUGUGUUAUGUUAUCGUUCAUACGACUUUUUUGCAGUAUGAAUUAGUUACAAUUUGUUCAAUUGAGAAGUUGUUUGUAAGAAGACAUCUUCCUUGCAGGGAAUUGUGAGGCCACCCAUUGGAUGACAGUAACCGAACUCCUCUUCAGCUUGGCUCAACAAUUCUUGAAAUGAAGGUUGGUUCAAGAAUGAAACUGGAAUCAAGAACCUCUUAAUUUCCUCUCCAACAUAUACCGCAAGGUAGCCUUUUGGGACUUCUGUUUCCUUGAUAGAUGCUUGGCUUGCACUAAAUGAUGAUCGUCUAAUACUAGGUAAGCGAAAACCCAUUCUUGUUUUAUUUCUUUUCAACAAAAUGAUGUGAAAGAAGUAGUAGAAGAAAGAAUUGAACUUGAAUUCUUAUGCUUCAAGGUAAGAAUGAUAUGUGUUGCUUGUAAACCCAAUGAUGGGUAUAUAUAUAGAUUUUGGGAACCAAUUGUAUGGUGGAUGAGUUAUUCAAUGGGGUUUAGUGAGGGACAAGGCUCAUUAAUUAUCACAUGGCACUGUCUUGGAAGUUUUCACUGAGAAUUAGCCUUCUGAAAGAGACCUGCUUCACAAGAUUCAGACAAGAUCUAAGCUUAUCAAGUAUUAUUAUUGUCCUUGUUUCUAUAGGAUAACUUGUAGCUAUUAUUACUGGUUGGAAUCCAAUCAAUAAACCAUGAAAUCUACUUGGAAGCUGUUGUUAUUGAUAAAUUCCUGCCACAAUUUUGAACUUCAAUCUAACUGUAAAAUUUUGCUAAUACAUGUAAUUGGACAAAAGAGAAGGACCAUUAAAUUUUGUUACAGUAUACAAUUAUUAAUUAGCUAUGGCCGCUUAGUACUUGAGUCAAACAUUUGACUAAUCACUAAUUAGGACAGUAUUUUGGAUGCAUCAUUCAAACUUGUCACUAAUUAGGACAACUAAAAUGAUUAGAAACCAAAAGUGAAAAAAAUGGGAACGAACCCAAAAAAAAAACACGAGAUAUAAUUAAUGGUACCAAUGCAUGCAUGUUCCGAAUUUGUCUUUUAAGAGUUUCCCAUCAACUGCAUGUUGAGCAAAGCUUUUAGCACUUAUAGUACAAUCAAUAAACAAUGGAAUCUACGUCGAAGCUAUUGCAACUUUGAGUGGGUAGAAUACUGCCUAUUAUAAGACUAUUCAAAAUUAAUAAUAUAUUUUCUCAAAACUAUUUUGUUCUUGGUAGACGGCAGGUCCAUGUGAAGGGCAUAGGGAGUCCUUGUGAUUUAAGUUUUCAUCAAAGUCCAACUCUUGCAAACAUUAUGAAUAUAAUUAACAAUUUGUGACCAAAGCGUGUUGUAAACUGAGAUCAAUUAUUAGCAAAUCCAUUUCUUCAUUUUGACUUCAAUAUAUUCAGGGAAACGUAGGUUGACAAAUAAGCAAGUUUUGCCUUAUGGAAACAAAUACUGCCACACACAUUAACAGGGACCCCACAUUGAAUUUUCAUCUUAAUCUUUUCACAUUGGUAGUUGAACAUUAUGGCUUGGUUUUGACUUUCUCUUUCAAUAUCAUCAGCUGAAAAAUUCUGGUGCCAGAUUGUCAGGUGCAAUGCUCAGUGAAGUUAGCAAAACACUUGUUAGAGAUCUGAGAAAUUUAGUUGUAAAGGGUCCACCCUUGUAAGGGAAUUAUCUCCCUUGUAUCUCUGCAUAUUCUUUUUCUCCAUAUUCUCUAAUUAUUUCUAUUUAUCUAGUACUAUUUGCUCACACAUCUAUAAAAAGUUUCUAUCAAUGUAUAUCCAUGCCUUGAAAAAAGAAAAAAAGAACAUUGGCUAUCUAUCAACUGAAUGUAAGUUGCAGGACAGUUAAAUGUUUGUUUUGUCUGUUAGGCGGCCUCAUGAGAAGUUGUCUAAUCAACUGAAUGUAAGUUGCAGGACAGUCAAACGUCCUCAUGAGAAGUUGUCUAAUCACAACAACUCUGAUGUUAUUAGUUGAGUUAGUUAAGUUGAUUAGAAUUACAAUUUGUUAAUCAUUUCAGUUAAUACAUAUUCUGAUUUUAGCUUUAUUUGAAAUAUAUUAUUUUCAUUCAUCCAUAGAUUCAACUAAGAGAGAUUGCAGAGAACAUUGCUCAUGCUCUCAGUUCAUUAUUCAGAACUCUUAAUCAGUGAUAUUCUUGAUCUGUGCAUAGAGACAUUUUUAAGAAGUUAAAAGUUUCAUAGCAUACAUAGUUGUUUCCUACUUUUAAUGUGACCGAUCUGCUCAAUAUACAUUCAUAAUGAGAGAGUGCAGCCAUGUUGUAGAACUUGAAUCUCACCAUAAGAUCUGGCUUGAUAUAUGCAGUUGGAGAAAAGAGAAGAAUCAAAUUUUGUUACAAUAUACAUGAAUUCUGGGAAACCAAAAGUAAUUUCUAAGGUUCUUUUUCAGAGGAAUCACCAGUUUGGUAAUUCAUCAAUAUAUAAAAGAACACACAGUCAGUCUUUGUUGAAACAUUGUAUCAUUAUGAUUAUAGAAAGGUAAAAAGAGUAAAAUAUUGAUAAUGAGUAUGUCAUUUAGAUGAACAAUUUUCACUAAUUCCUUAUAAAGGAAAAAGGAAAAAUAUUUACAAGCAUAAACAUUGCCUAUUGUACAAAUUUUCACUACUAAUCUAUGUCAGUCUUCUGCAGUUUUAGAUUUAUAGCAUAUUGAAGCUUGAAGUAAUAUGUAAGAAAACAUCUUCUCUGCAAGGAAUUGUGAGGCCACCCAUUGGAUGCUCAUACCCGAAUUCUUCCUCUGCUUGACUCAGCAAGUCUUGAAAUGAAG